GCUUUCAUAGUGUAGUGGUCAUCCCGUCUGCUUUACACGCAGAAGGUCCUGGGUUCAAUCCCCAGUGAAACCU
rnacentral:tRNA from 2 species